rnacentral:piRNA from 1 species
UCCUUGUGCAGUUCUCACAUUACAGGG